rnacentral:RNase_P_RNA from 1 species
CCAGAAGGCUGGACGGCCGCGCCGGGCACCCUGCCCGGCGAGGAAGGUCCGGGCUCCACGGAGGAACGGUGCCGGGUAACGCCCGGCGGGGGCGACCCCAGGGAAAGUGCCACAGAAAACAAACCGCCGGCCCUCCGGGCCCGCCCGCCGGCCGGCAAGGGUGAAACGGGGCGGUAAGAGCGCCCCGCGGCUUCGGCAACGGAGCCGGCAGGGCAAACCCCACCGGGAGCAAGACCGAAUAGGAGCGGCAGGCCGGGGCAAACCGCCCCGGCCGGCGUCCUCCGCGUCGCCGCUCGGGUUGGUCGCACGAGGCGUCCGGCAACGGACGUCCCAGACGAAUGGUCGUCGCCGCCCGGAAACGGGCGGUACAGAACCCGGCCUACAGGCCUUCUGGAUCG